UGAAGUCCUCGUUAGGCGAGGCUUCUAUACGAAAAGAUGCCACUGCCCGGAAACGUGGAAACACGCCAAUGGGUUGAACAGGUACUGCCGGCUUAAGGCUUUACUUAAUGUGGCUGGGGGAAUCCCUAAGUCGUAUAGUGCCAAAGCUCAACCAGGGGGAUAAUG
rnacentral:sRNA from 2 species